rnacentral:rRNA from 1 species
AACGAACGCUGGCGGCGUGCUUAACACAUGCAAGUCGAACGGUAAAGCUCUUCGGAGUGAUUAGAGUGGCGCACGGGUGAGUAAUACAUAGGAACGUACCUUUCGGUGGGGGACAACCACGGGAAACUGUGGCUAAUACCGCAUAAUAUCGAAAGAUCAAGGGAGGCCUCUGCUUGCAUGCUUUCGCCGGAAGAUCGGCCUAUGUCCCAUUAGCUUGUUGGUGGAGUAAUAGCCUACCAAGGCGACGAUGGGUAGCUGGUCUGAGAGGAUGAUCAGCCACACUGGGACUGAGACACGGCCCAG